CAAUCGAAGCAAAACUCACAGAUUGAGAAGAGAGAGAUGGGGCUGCUGUGUUGUUUCGAUGGAGGCAACAACGCACAGAGAAAAGAAGAAGACAGAAUAGCCUCGGCAGAAGCUCUUGCCAAAGCUGCCGAAGCCGCCCAGAGAAGGCAAGAAGAAUUCGAAAAGUCUGCAGCAGGAAGAGCUGCGCGUGCACAGCAACAGGCAGCUGCAAAGCAAGCUGCCAGCGGUAACAAAGGGGAACCAGUAUUAAAGUGGUCGAUGGGUUGAGGCGGAGCUUUCGUCUCUCCAACAACUUCCAAUUUGUUUAUACAGAUACAACCAUGUUUGGACUGCCAAUUCCUCUUCUGCCUAGAACGAACACUCCAGAUCUCCAAAGCAAACUUUGUUUAUCAAUCAACAUUCACUCUGUCAUUUAUUGUGUAUAUGGAAUGUCAGGAGAACAGUAACAAUUGCAAAAUUCUUGCUUUGGUGCAUCAUCUAAUAAUGAAAUCUGGCCAUUCAUUUCUCUGUGCAA